rnacentral:rRNA from 1 species
UACGGGGGGAGCAAGCGUUGUUCGGAUUUACUGGGCGUAAAGGGCGCGUAGGCGGCGCCGCAAGUCAAUUGUGAAAUCUCCGGGCUUAACUCGGAAAGGUCAACUGAUACUGCGGGGCUAGAGUGCGGAAGGGGCAACUGGAAUUCUCGGUGUAGCGGUGAAAUGCGUAGAUAUCGAGAGGAACACCUGCGGCGAAGGCGGGUUGCUGGGCCGACACUGACGCUGAGGCGCGAAAGCUAGGGGAGCGAACGGG